rnacentral:rRNA from 1 species
AAAUUUUAUGCUGAUAAAGAGAUGGAGCCUAAGGGUGACAUCGUACUUUUUGUAGAACGGACCAACGAGUUAGUGUAUGUGGCAAGGUUAAGGAAGUAUAAUCUGAAGCCGAAGUGAAAGCGAGCUUGAAAAGGGCGAUAAGUCAUAUAUACUAGACCCGAAACUAGGUGAGCUUCCCAUGAGCAGGCUGAAGUAGAGGUAAAACUCUAUGGAGGGCCGAACCAAUUGGAGCUGCAAGUCCUUUGGAUGACUUGUGGGAAGGAGUGAAAAGCUAAUCGAACCUAGAGAUAGCUGGUUCUCCGCGAAAUAGCUUUAGGGCUAGCCUUGGUUAAAUAUUGUAUAGGGGUAGAGCACUGAUUGGGCUAGCGGGCUUCACGGCUUAGUAAACCCAGACAAACUUCAAAUACUAUAUAACUUAAACCAGGAGUCAGACGGUGAGAGAUAAGUCCCAUCGUCAAAAGGGAAACAGCCCAGAUUACUGUCUAAGGUCCCUAAUUAAUAACUAAGUGGCAAAGGAUGUGGGGUUGCUGAGACAACCAGGAGGUUGGCUUAGAAGCAGCCAUUCCUUAAAAGAGUGCGUAAUAGCUCACUGGUCAAGCGACCCUGCGCCGAAAAUACAACGGGGCUCAAGUUAUUAACCGAAGACGUAGAAUCGUAAGAUUGGUAGCGGAGCGUUCUGUAAGUCGCAGAAGGUGAAGUGUGAACUUUGCUGGAGACAUCAGAAGCGAAAAUGUUGGUAUGAGUAACGAAAGGGAAGUGAAAACCUUCCCCAUCGGAAACCCAAGGUUUCCUACGCAACGGUAUUCGUCGUAGGGUUAGUCGGUCCUAAGGUGAAAGCUGAAAGGCGAAGCUGAUGGAUACCAGGUUAAUAUUCCUGGACUACAUAUAUAAACUGAAGGGGGGACAUAUCGGGAUAUAAGAGAUACUGAAUUAAUUGUAUUACGAAAGCAAGGUUUAGGAUAUAGGCAAAUCCGUAUUCUUUUAAGACUGAGCUAAGUUAGAUUGAUGGAAGCUCGAAUGAGUGGAAAGAUUUUGCUCUUACUAUAUUCUGGUAUCGAGAAAAGCCUCUAAGGGUUAAUUAUAUAAGUAACCGUACCGCAAUCAAACACAUGUGGGUUGGUGGAGAACACCAAGAUGAACGAGAAAACUAUGCUUAAGGAACUCGGCAAAACAGCGGUCGUAACUUCGGGAUAAGACCUGCCUAAUUUUUAAUGUAAGAAUUAGGCCGCAGCGAAAGAACUCAGGCGACUGUUUACCAAAAACACAGCUCUCUGCAAACUCGUAAGAGGAAGUAUAGGGGGUGAUGCCUGCCCAGUGUCAGAAGGUUACAUGGAUGUGUGCAAGCAUUGAAAUCAAGCCCUGAUGAACGGCGGCCGUAACUAUAACGGUCCUAAGGUAGCGAAAUUCCUUGUCGGGUA